CAUUUAUGCUCUAUGAAACACAAAAAAAAUUGUUGCUUUACACCAAUAUUUAUUGGAUUUGCUCUCUUCUUACUUUUUUAUUUAUUGAAAGAUUCUCUUGAAAUGGGUUUACACCAAUAUUCAUAGGAGUAUAGUGGGAUUACAAUGGAGAUGAUCUUCUCUUGAUGAAUAAGUAUGUUGUUCGAAUUUUGAGUCAACCUUGCAGCGCUUCAUCAUGUGAGAGAAAUUGGAGUGCCUUUGAAGUUGCUGAAAUAAAAAAAAGGAAUAGGUUGUCACAUGAAAUGCUAGACACACUAGUAUAUGUAAGGAUGGACACAAUGAUGAUGGAUAAGUUCACUUCCACGAUGGCUUGUGAUUUGGGACCAAUAGAUCUUGAUAAUUUAGGGGAGAUUCCAAAGUAUGAAGAAAUUCGUAUAGAUGAAGAUUCUAAUUCUACACCAAGUACUAAUGACUUGAUAAAUUAUGAUGACCUUUCUUGGUUGGAUGGCUAUUUUUUGAGUUUUUAGUGUUUGUUUAUAUAUUUUUCUUGUUAUGGACUACAAUUUGAAUAUUGACUAUGUUAUAAUUUGAUU